CGCCCUUAGAGUUUGAUCAUGGCUCAGGACGAACGCUGGCGGCGUGCUUAACACAUGCAAGUCGAACGGAGGUUAUUUUGAAACUUAGUGAUAGGUAACCUUAGUGGCGGACGGGUGAGUAACGCGUGGAUAACCUGCCUACAUGCCUGGGACAACACCGGGAAACUGGUGCUAAUACCGGAUACGCUCUUGUAUGCACAUGCAUAUAAGAGGAAAGGAGCAAUCCGCAUAUAGAUGGGUCCGCGUCCCAUUAGCUAGUUGGAGGUGUAAGAGACCCCCAAGGCGACGAUGGGUAGCCGGCCUGAGAGGGUGGACGGCCACACUGGAACUGAGACACGGUCCAGACUCCUACGGGAGGCAGCAGUGGGGAAUCUUCCGCAAUGGGCGAAAGCCUGACGGAGCAACGC
rnacentral:rRNA from 1 species